GUACCUCCAGGAUUACCACCAACCUCCAUCCAUGAAGAUCUUCUGCCUCCUCUCUGCUAUCUUCCACAUCCUGCUCCUGGUGGCUCCAGAUUUCACCGAAGCCCAAAAUCUCGAACCUCAAUGUGUCCGUAGGGGAGGGAGAUGCAAGUAUUUCAGCUGCGGCAUCAAGGAAAGAGAAAUUGGAUGGUGUUCAAGAGACAAACUUUGUUGCCGUUGAGGCAAGACUGGGAGAGACCCCUGCUGGGAACCCUGUUGAGAUCACUCAGCUUGAUGGACCAAUUGAUGGAAGACAGCUUC